rfam:Desulfovibrio sp. An276 An276_contig_75, whole genome shotgun sequence.
CUUGUCGCGAGGCAAGUUCUGAAGGAAGUCUAUGGCAAACCACUGACC